UACGGAGGGAGCUAGCGUUGUUCGGAUCUACUGGGCGUAAAGCGCACGUAGGCGGCGCCGUAAGUCAGGGGUGAAAUCCCGGAGCUCAACUCCGGAACUGCCCUUGAAACUGCAGUGCUAGAAUCUUGGAGAGGCGAGUGGAAUUCCGAGUGUAGAGGUGAAAUUCGUAGAUAUUCGGAAGAACACCAGUGGCGAAGGCGACUCGCUGGACAAGUAUUGACGCUGAGGCGCGAAAGCGUGGGGAGCAAACAGG
rnacentral:rRNA from 1 species